AUUACAUAUUUGCCCUGGGCCUUCUCCUCUCAACGCGUGAGUCGCCGCCGCGAGCCCGCGACGGAAGAAAGAGGCGGAAACGCCGCCACCCCCAACGCCGGAAACGCCGGCCGCUACGCCCAGCCGCCGGGGCUCACCUCCAAGAUGCCGCCGCCACCCGUACUCGCUGGAACCGUCGCCGCCACCCCUCUUUGCCGGAGCCGCCGGCGCUCUCUCCCGACGCCGCUACUCAUAAUUGGGCACCCCAGGCCUGAGACCCAGCAGAAUCUUUGGACAAAAUUUUACAACACUUGUAGUUCAGGCACGCUGCAACUGCUGCAUCUGCCAAAUUGUGCUUAUCCUGUGCAAGAAAUAGCUAUAGAUUGACUCGGCCGGGCAGUAGUACACUAGUUUAUCAAAUUUCAACGUCCAAUCUUCUGGGAAAAGAAGAUUCAGACCAUCAUCUGCCAGAAGAAGUGCAUUCAUCAUCUAAUGCAACAGGACAGUAACUCCUGAGCUAUGCAAACAAGUGAGUUAUAUAAUGCUCAGACAGACAAAGAUCAUCUUAUGUUGAAUUUGGCUCAGUAAUUUUCAGUGGGCAGAUAUGCUCGGACAGACAAAGAAAGGCUGACAGUGUCUUCAGACUUGUUCAGUUGCAGUUCAACUGGAAGAGUAUGUAUUGAGUGUACUCAGUUCUUGAGUUUCAUUUUAUUUACAAAAUCUGAAUUAAUCCUUCAGUAGAAACCAUGUUUGCCGCUGGGCUGCUUGAACCUUCCUGGCUUCAUCUCCUAGUAGAGCAAUAUUUUGUGCGUCAUUGCUGUGAGGUGAUAAUAGGACUAAAAAGUGACAAUAUGGUCAGAUUUUGUGAGGUGAUAAUAGGCCUGAAAAGUGACAAUAUGGUCAGAUUUUGUGCAUGUUGAAAUUCAGAUUUUGUGAUAAUGUUGGAGAGGAAGAAUCCAAGAGCAAUUAGGAUGUGACUUUCAGACCUACAUUCAGAUUUUGACAGUAGUAGCACUCCUUGCUGAAACCUUAGGUUACAGCUUCAUCAAAGCAGACAACUACCAUUCUCAGGCAAACAAAG